rnacentral:sRNA from 1 species
CGCGCGGGAUUUAAACUGCGGCGGUUUACGCGGCGUUGAGACUUAGGGUUAGCGAAAUUGAGGUUUCUUGGCAUUGCGCGUUUCUCUUCCUUGCUGACCCUCCGAAUGGCCAUGGACUCGUCGCUUCAGGCCCGCCUGUUUCCCGGUCUCGCUAUCAAGAUCCAACGCAGUAAUGGUUUAAUUCACAGUGCCAAUGUAAGGACUGUGAACCUGGAGAAAUCCUGUGUUUCAGUGGAAUGGGCAGAAGGAGGUGCCACAAAGGGCAAAGAGAUUGAUUUUGAUGAUGUGGCUGCAAUAAACCCAGAACUCUUACAGCUUCUUCCCUUACAUCCGAAGGACAAUCUGCCCCUGCAGGAAAAUGUAACAAUCCAGAAACAAAAACGGAGAUCCGUCAACUCCAAAAUUCCUGCUCCAAAAGAAAGUCUUCGAAGCCGCUCCACUCGCAUGUCCACUGUCUCAGAGCUUCGCGUCACCGCUCAGGAGAAUGACAUGGAGGUGGAGCUGCCUGCAGCUGCAAACACCCGCAAGCAGUUUUCAGUUCCUCUUCGGAGGAAAUCAUGUCUUGUGAAGGAAGUGGAAAAAAUGAAGAACAAGCGAGAAGAGAAGAAGGCCCAGAACUCUGAAAUGAGAAUGAAGAGAGCUCAGGAGUAUGACAGUAGUUUUCCAAACUGGGAAUUUGCCCGAAUGAUUAAAGAAUUUCGGGCUACUUUGGAAUGUCAUCCACUUACUAUGACUGAUCCUAGAGCACCCCCUGAAAUACUCUCCUUCUGCAGAAUUGGCCAAGAAAGAAAUUGAUGUGAUUUCCAUUCCUAGCAAGUGUCUCCUCUUGGUACAUGAACCCAAGUUGAAAGUGGACUUAACAAAGUAUCUGGAGAACCAAGCAUUCUGCUUUGACUUUGCAUUUGAUGAAACAGCCUCAAAUGAAGUUGUCUACAGGUUCACAGCAAGGCCACUGGUACAGGCAAUCUUUGAAGGUGGAAAAGCAACUUGUUUUGCAUAUGGCCAGACAGGAAGUGGCAAAACACAUACUAUGGGCGGAGACCUCUCUGGGAAAGCCCAGAAUGCAUCCAAAGGGAUCUAUGCCAUGG